GACUCACUCAACCUGGGUGUGAUGCUUGCCUGUGUAUCAGGCCCUAGCGGUCAUCACAACCUUUUUGAGUGAGCGA
rnacentral:pre_miRNA from 11 species